rnacentral:rRNA from 1 species
AUUGAACGCUGGCGGCAUGCUUUACACAUGCAAGUCGAACGGUAACAGGGCCUUCGGGUGCUGACGAGUGGCGAACGGGUGAGUAAUGCAUCGGAACAUACCCAGUCGUGGGGGAUAACGUAGCGAAAGUUACGCUAAUACCGCAUACGUCCUGAGGGAGAAAGCGGGGGAUCGCAAGACCUCGCGCGAUUGGAGUGGCCGAUGUCAGAUUAGCUAGUUGGUGGGGGUAAAGGCCCACCAAGGCGACGAUCUGUAGCGGGUCUGAGAGGAUGAUCCGCCACACUGGGACUGAGACACGGUCCAGACUCCUACGGGAGGCAGCAGUGGGGAAUUUUGGACAAUGGGCGCAAGCCUGAUCCAGCCAUGCCGCGUGAGUGAAGAA